rnacentral:rRNA from 1 species
UACGUAGGGUGCAAGCGUUGUCCGGAAUUAUUGGGCGUAAAGAGCUCGUAGGCGGCUCGUUGCGUCGGCUGUGAAAACCCGCAGCUCAACUGUGGGCUUGCAGCUGAUACGGGCGGGCUGGGGUUCGGUAGGGGAGACUGGAAUUCCUGGUGUAGCGGUGAAAUGCGCAGAUAUCAGGAGGAACACCGGUGGCGAAGGCGGGUCUCUGGGCCGAUACUGACGCUGAGGAGCGAAAGCGUGGGGAGCGAACAGG